rnacentral:piRNA from 1 species
UCUAUCAUGUUAGCGGGAAAUUCCAGACC